rnacentral:lncRNA from 1 species
UGUGGUUUAGAAGUUAAGAUCAAAAGAUUAUUUGUGGAUAGUUGAGUAUUCUUUCAGAUUUUUUCAUCAAUAUGUUGUAUUUUUAAAUAAUUUUCUUAAAAACUGCUAUUUUUAGAAAGUUUUCAUUUUAUAUAGAAAUAUUAUAGAUUUGGGUUUGUGAUUUAUAAAUUAGGACUACAAGAAUAUUUGUGGACAGAUAAGUGUUCUUUCAGAAUUUUGCAUCAAUAUGUUGUAUUUUUAUUUAAUUUUUUUAAAAACUGCUAUCUUUGGAAACUUUUCAUUUUUUUAGAAAAAUAUUGUAGAUUUGAGUUUGUGGUUUAGAAGUUAAGAUCAAAAGAUUAUUUGUGGAUAGUUGAGUAUUCUUUCAGAAUUUUUCAUCAAUAUGUUGUAUUUUUAAAUAAUUUUCUUUAAAACUGCUAUUUUUUGAAAGUUUUCAUUUUAUAUAGAAAUAUUGUAGAUUUAGGUUUGUGAUUUAGAAAUUAGGAUUACAAGAAUUUUUGUGGAUAGAUAAGUAUUCUUUCAGAGUUUUUCAUCAAUAUGUUGUAUUUUUAAAUAAUUUUCUUAAAAAUUGCUAUUUUUGGAAAGUGUUCAUUUUUUAGAGAAAUAUUGUAGAUUUGAGUUUGUGGUUUAGGAUUUAAGAUCAAAAGAUUAUUUGUGGAUAGUCGAGUAUUCUUUCAGAUUUUUUCAUCAAUAUCUUGUAUUUUUAAAUAAUUUUCUUAAAAACUGCAAUUUUUAGAAAGUUUUUAUUUUAUAUAGAAAUAUUAUAGAUUUGGGUUUGUGAUUUAGAAAUUAGGACUACAAGAAUAUUUGUGGACAGAUAAGCGUUCUUUCAGAAUUUUGCAUCAAUAUGUUGUAUAUUUAUUUAUUUAUUUUUUAAAACUGCUAUUUUUGAAAACUUUUCAUUUUUUUAGAAAAAUAUUGUAGAUUUGAGUUUGUGGUUUAGAAGUUAAGAUCAAAAGAUUAUUUGUGGAUAGUUGAGUAUUCUUUCAGAAUUUUUCAUCAAUAUGUUGUAUUUUUAAAUAAUUUUCUUUAAAACUGCUAUUUUUAGAAAGUUUUCAUUUUAUAUAGAAAUAUUGUAGAUUUGGGUUUGUGAUUUAGAAAUUAGGAUUACAAGAAUUUUUGUGGAUAGAUAAGUAUUCUUUCAGAGUUUUUCAUCAAU